rnacentral:lncRNA from 1 species
UGCCAGGAUCAAUAUGGAUGUGGUGACAUUUUCCUAAACUGUAAAGCCCUGCACAAAGUGGUUAAAUAGACACGAUACAGCAGAAGCCACCUUUCCAAUGCUUAGAAUACAAGGAUCUGUUCUUUUUCAAAAGGUGUGAGUGAGGGACUCAGACUUCUACAGUUCACCUUAUCCUCUCUUGCACUUUGGUAAAACUCAAAAGAGUCAUUGAUUUAAAACUGAUUUUAUAUCCCAAGGAUGUUCAGCAACAGACUUGCUCUUAAUCAUUUGAAACUACUCAAAACAAGCCCCCCCAAAAGACACGUCUGUGUUGAAAAUCCAUUAAAAGUUCUGUUUACUGGAAGAUCAUUCCCAGCUGGGGCUUGAGGGGUGAUUCCCAUUGUUUCCUCUAGAUUUCAGUACAGGAUUCUGUUGCUACUGUUGUUGUUACAUCCCAGUGAAUGACAGGCAUGAGUGUGACUGAGAAUGAGAAACGAGUGAAAACGCUGCUCGAGGAUCAGAGCCACCGCCUCUAAAUCCUGUUCCCUUCACU